UUUAGAAAUCAGAAAAAAAUAAAUUUACACAUUACUCAUCGUCGCAAAGUGAAACAGAAGAAAUGCGAGAUUCGGGUAAACAAUCUAUGUGCAAUGAUUCAGAAACAGGAGCAGAAAACCACGAAGUUAGG